rnacentral:misc_RNA from 1 species
GAUGAAGAACGUAGCGAAAUGCGAUAAGUAAUGUGAAUUGCAGAAUUCAGUGAACCAUCGAAUCUUUGAACGCACAUUGCGCCCGGCAGUAAUCUGCCGGGCAUGCCUGUCCGAGCGUCAUUUCUGCCCUCGAGCGAGUCCAGCAUCUAGGUGCUGGGCCCGCCCGGCGUUGGGGCACUACGGGAAGCCCUGUGCUGUCCCCCGUAGGCCCCGAAAUGAAGUGGCGGUCCUGCCGCGGCGCCCCCUGCGUAGUAUAACAGCUCGCUUCGGGACCCGGUGGAGGCCUGCCGUCAAACCUUACUCUCUAAGUUUGACCUCGGAUCAGGUAGGGUUACCCGCUGAACUUAAGCAUAUCAAUAGCGGAGGA